UACAGAGGUCUCAAGCGUUUGUUCGGAUUCAUUGGGCGUAAAGGGUGCGUAGGCGGCGCGGUAAGUCGGGUGUGAAAUCUCGGGGCUUAACUCCGAAACUGCAUUCGAUACUGCCGUGCUUGAGGACUGGAGAGGAGACUGGAAUUUACGGUGUAGCGGUGAAAUGCGUAGAUAUCGUAAGGAAGACCAGUGGCGAAGGCGGGUCUCUGGACAGUUCCUGACGCUGAGGCACGAAGGCCAGGGGAGCAAACGGGG
rnacentral:rRNA from 1 species